CGUGAGGGAAAGGUGAAAAGAACCCCGGGAGGGGAGUGAAAUAGAAACUGAAACCGUUAGCUUACAAGCAGUCGGAGCACUAUGUGUUUACACAGUGUGACGGCGUGCCUUUUGCAUAAUGAGUCAACGACUUACCCUGUGCAGCGAGGUUAAGCCGAGAGGUGGAGCCGUAGCGAAAGCGAGUCUUAACUGGGCGAAUUUAGUUGCAUGGGGUAGACCCGAAGCCGGGUGAUCUAUCCAUGGCCAGGGUGAAGUCUCGGUAACACGAGAUGGAGGCCCGAACCAUUGUAGGUUGAAAACUGCUUGGAUGAGCUGUGGAUAGGAGUGAAAGGCUAAUCAAACUCGGUGAUAGCUGGUUUUCUCCGAAAUAUAUUUAGGUAUAGCCUCAUAUGUUGACUGACGGAGGUAGAGCACUGACAAGGCUAGGGGGCCCACCGGCUUACCAACCCUUAUCAAACUCCGAAUGCCGUCAAGUUCGAAUAUGGGAGUCAGUCUACGGGAGAUAAGUUCCGUGGUCGAGAGGGAAACAACCCAGACCGUCAGCUAAGGUCCCUAAACUAUGCUAAGUGGGAAAGGAUGUGGAAUUGUGAAUACAACCAGGAGGUUGGCUUAGAAGCAGCAACCCUUUAAAGAAAGCGUAAUAGCUCACUGGUCUAAUGAAUCUGCGCCGAAAAUGUAACGGGGCUAAGCAUAGUACCGAAGCUACGGGUUACAGAAGACAGAGUACAGAGGACAGAUGAUCAAGUCAUUUGAAGAUCUGGAGGUGUUUCAGCGGGCCUACAAGGUCUCUUUGGAAAUUCAUAAAGCGAGUCUUGAAUUUCCCAGGAGAGAGCAAUACGGUUUGGCUGAUCAGAUACGAAGAGCGAGCAAAUCGAUCUGCGCAAACAUCGCGGAAGGUUACGGCAAGCAACACCAUUCCAAGGCUGAAUUUAAACGCUAUCUGGUGAUGGCGAUUGGUUCAAGUGAUGAAAUGAGAGUCUGGCUUCGAUACUGCCUCGAUUUAUCUCUGAUACCUGAGGAUAAAUGGAGUACAUGGAGAGAUGAAUACAAUGAAAUCUCAAAAAUGCUCCAAGGAAUGUACAGAAGUUGGAAAUAGUUUUUAUCAUGCGCGCUAGCGCGAAACUAUUCUGAGCUCUGUCCCCUGUCCUCUGUCUUCUGAUAACGGUAGGAGAACAUUGUGGCCGCCUGAGAAGGUACACCGAAAGGAGUGCUGGAGGUUCCACAAGAGCUUAUGUUGACACGAGUAGCGAUAAAAGGGGUGAGAAACCCCUUCGCCGAAAGCCUAAGGUUUCCUGUAGUCAAGUUAAUCUGCUCAGGGUUAGUCGGCUCCUAAGGCGAGGCCGAGAGGCGUAGUCGAUGGGAAACAGGUUAAUAUUCCUGUACCACUUUCAUAAUGUUAUGGUAAGGGGGGACGGAGAAGGUAAGGCCAUCCGGGCGUUGGUUGUCCCGGUUUAAGCGUGUAGGUGGAGGACUUUGGCAAAUCCGGGUCCUUAUUCAACACUGAGGCGUGAUGACGAUGUCUUUUAGACAGUAAAGUGGCUGGUUCCAUGCUUCCAGGAAAAUCCUCGUAUCUAGUUAUGAAUGUGACCGUACCGUAAACCGACACAGGUAGGCAGGUAGAGAAUACCAAGGCGCUUGAGAGAACUCUGGUUAAGGAACUCGGCAAAAUAGCACCGUAACUUUGGGAGAAGGUGUGCCUGCAUGGUGAUUUUUUUUACAAAUUGAGCCUAGUCAGGUUGCAGUGAAAUGGGGGGAGCGACUGUUUACUAAAAACACAGGACUCUGCGAAGUCGAAAGACGAUGUAUAGGGUCUGACGCCUGCCCGGUGCCGGAAGGUUAAGGGGACGUGUUAGCUUAGGCGAAGCACUGAACCGAAGCCCCGGUAAACGGCGGCCGUAACUAUAACGGUCCUAAGGUAGCGAAAUUCCUUGUCGGGUAAGUUCCGACCUGCACGAAUGGCGUAACGAUUUCCCCACUGUCUCAACCAGAGACUCAGCGAAACUGUAGUACCGGUGAAGAUGCCGGUUACCCGCAACAAGACAGAAAGACCCCGUGAACCUUUACUACAGCUUGGCAUUGGUUUUUGAGGUAACAUGUGUAGGAUAGGUGGGAGACUUUGAAGUGGGCACGCCAGUGUUCAUGGAGUCACCCUUGAAAUACCACCCUUGUUAUCUUAGGAAUCUAACUGCGGUCCGUAAUCCGGAUCCAGGACAUUGUCUGGUGGGUAGUUUGACUGGGGCGGUCGCCUCCUAAAGAGUAACGGAGGCGCGCGAUGGUUCCCUCCGGCUGAUUGGAAACCAGCCUAAGAGUGUAAAGGCAUAAGGGAGCUUGACUGCGAGACAGACAUGUCGAGCAGGUACGAAAGUAGGUCUUAGUGAUCCGGUGGUUCU
rnacentral:rRNA from 1 species